rnacentral:rRNA from 1 species
UACGUAGGGCGCAAGCGUUGUCCGGAAUUAUUGGGCGUAAAGAGCUCGUAGGCGGCUUGUCACGUCGGGUGUGAAAGCCCGGGGCUUAACCCCCGGGUCUGCAUUCGAUACGGGCAGGCUAGAGUGUGGUAGGGGAGAUCGAAUUCCUGGUGUAGCGGUGAAAUGCGCAGAUAUCAGGAGGAACACCGGUGGCGAAGGCGGAUCUCUGGGCCAUUACUGACGCUGAGGAGCGAAAGCGUGGGGAGCGAACAGG